rnacentral:rRNA from 1 species
UAACCUGCUAAAUAGCGACGUGACCCUUUCGUGGUCACGGCCCGCUUCUUAGAGGGACUGUCGGCGUUGCAGCCGACGGAAGUUUGAGGCAAUAACAGGUCUGUGAUGCCCUUAGAUGUUCUGGGCCGCACGCGCGCUACACUGACGAAGCCAGCGAGUCUAUCACCUUGGCCGGAAGGCCCGGGUAAUCUUGUGAAACUUCGUCGUGCUGGGGAUAGUCCUUUGCAAUUUUCGGACUUGAACGAGGAAUUCCUAGUAAGCGCAAGUCAUCAGCUUGCGUUGAUUACGUCCCUGCCCUUUGUACACACCGCCCGUCGCU